GGCUGCUUCAUUGAAACUGCUACAUAAUUGAUCUUGGCUGAUCUCAGAAGUUAAACAGAGUCAUGCUUGGUUAGUAUUUGAAUGGGAGAUAGUCUGGGAAUGCCAAGUGCUGCUGGCU
rnacentral:rRNA from 1 species